GCAUUAAUGGGGUAGUGGUAACCUGGGUCGUUGCCAUUGAAUAAAUUUAGCUCGACCCGCCGGGGGUUCGAUUCCCCCUUAAUGCA